UACUUUUAAAUAAGGAAGAGUUUGUGGUGGAUGCCUUGGGUCUGGAAGUCGAUGAAGGACGUGAUUACCUGCGAUAAGCCUCGUAGAGCUGGAAAUAUGCUAUGAAACGGGGAUUUCCGAAUGGGGAAACCUAACUAUGGUAAUGCAUAGUUGCUUAUGUCUGAAUACAUAGGACAUAAAGCGAGAUACCUUGUGAACUGAAACAUCUUAGUAGCAAGAGGAAAAGAAAAUAAAUAAUGAUUUCUUUAGUAGCGGCGAGCGAACGAGAAAGAGCCCAAACCAUUUUAAAUGGGGUCAUAGGACAGACUACAUAGAGUUACAAAAUUUAAUAAUAGCAGAAGCUUUUGGGAAGAAGCGGCACAGAAGGUGAUACCCCUGUAUGCGAAAUUAUUAAAUCUCUUGACUGUAUCCUGAGUAGGGCGGGGCACGUGAAACCCUGUCUGAAUUUGCCGGGACCACCCGGUAAGGCUAAAUACUAACCAGACACCGAUAGCGAACUAGUACCGUGAGGGAAAGGUGAAAAGAACCC
rnacentral:rRNA from 1 species